rnacentral:rRNA from 1 species
GGAAUAUUGCACAAUGGACGCAAGUCUGAUGCAGUAACGCCGCGUGGGGGAAGAAGACCUUCGGGUUGUAAACCUCUUUUGAUGAAGACGAGUGAGGACGGUAUUCAUAGAAUAAGUCUCGGCUAACUACGUGCCAGCAGCCGCGGUAAGACGUAGGAGGCGAGCGUUAUCCGGAUUCACUGGGCGUAAAGCGCAUGUAGGCGGUUGUGUAAGUCCGUUGUUAAAGCCCCUGGCUCAACUGGGGGAGGUC